AUUGAACGCUGGCGGCAUGCCUUACACAUGCAAGUCGAACGGCAGCACGGGAGCAAUCCUGGUGGCGAGUGGCGAACGGGUGAGUAAUAUAUCGGAACGUGCCCAGUCGUGGGGGAUAACGUAGCGAAAGCUACGCUAAUACCGCAUACGAUCUAUGGAUGAAAGCGGGGGAUCGCAAGACCUCGCGCGAUUGGAGCGGCCGAUAUCAGAUUAGGUAGUUGGUGAGGUAAAGGCUCGCCAAGCCGACGAUCUGUAGCUGGUCUGAGAGGACGACCAGCCACACUGGGACUGAGACACGGCCCAGACUCCUACGGGAGGCAGCAGUGGGGAAUUUUGGACAAUAGGGCGCAAGGCCUGAUCCAGCAAUGCCGCGUGCAGGAUGAAGGCCUU
rnacentral:rRNA from 1 species